AAUCAACGCUGGCGGCGUGCCUAACACAUGCAAGUCGAACGCGAAAGUCCCGCAAGGGAUGAGUAGCGUGGCAAACGGGUGAGUAACACGUGGGUGACCUGCCUUCGAGGUGGGGAUAACGUCCCGAAAGGGACGCUAAUACCGCAUGACAUCCUGCCUUUGAACAGGUGGAGAUCAAAGCUGGGGAUCGCAAGACCUAGCGCUGGAAGAGGGGCCCGCGCCUGAUUAGCUAGUUGGUGGGUAACGGCUCACCAAGGCAACGAUCAGUAUCCGGCCUGAGAGGGCGGACGGACACACUGGGACUGAGACACGGCCCAGACUCCUACGGGAGGCAGCAGUGGGAAUUGUUCGCAAUGGGCGCAAGCCUGACGACGCAACGCCGCGUGGAGA
rnacentral:rRNA from 1 species